rnacentral:rRNA from 1 species
CGAGCGCACCCUUGUCCUCAGUUACCAGCACGUUAUGGUGGGCACUCUGGGGAGACUGCCGGUGACAAACCGGAGGAAGGUGGGGACGACGUCAAGUCAUCAUGGCCCUUACGGCCAGGGCUACACACGUGCUACAAUGGUGCAUACAGACGGUUGCCAAGCCGCAAGGUGGAGCUAAUCUGAGAAAGUGCAUCGUAGUCCGGAUUGGGGUCUGCAACUCGACUCCAUGAAGUCGGAAUCGCUAGUAAUCGUGAAUCAGAAUGUCACGGUGAAUACGUUCCCGGGCCUU